AAAGAUAUCUGGUUGAUCCUGCCUGAACUGAUGUGUUCAUUUCAAAGAUUAAGCCAUGCAUGUAUAAGUUUAAUCGUUUUAACGAGAAACCGCGAAAGGCUCAUUACAAUGGCCAUGAUUUACUUGAUCUUGAUUAUCUAAAUGGAUAACUGUGGAAAAGCUAGAGCUAAUACAUGCACCAAAGCUUUGUCCUCACGGAAAAGCGCAUUUAUUAGAACAAAACCACGCGGCUUCGGCUGCUUCUUGUUGACUCAGAAUAACUAAGCUGACCGCAUGGCCUUGUGCCGGCGGCGUGUCUUUCAAGCGUCCACUUUAUCAACUUGACGGGAGCAUAAUCGACUCCCGUGGUGGUGACGGAUAACGGAGGAUCAGGGUUCGACUCCGGAGAAGGGGCCUGAGAAAUGGCCACUACGUCUAAGGAUGGCAGCAGGCGCGCAAAUUACCCACUCUCGGCUCGAGGAGGUAGUGACGAAAAAUAACGAGACUGUUCUCUUUGAGGCCGGUCAUCGGAAUGGGUACAAUUUAAACCCUUUAACGAGUAUCAAGCAGAGGGCAAGUCUGGUGCCACUAGCCGCGGUAAUUCCAGCUCUGCUAAUACAUAGAAUUAUUGCUGCGGUUAAAAAGCUCGUAGUUGGAUUCGUAUCGGUACCUUGGAACCCUUCGGGUGUUUCUGGGUGUUAUCGAUUUAUCGUAAUGUUCGGUUUUGAGUCCUUAACAGGAUUCUUAACAGUCAUUGCAAGUUUACUUUGAACAAAUCAGAGUGCUUCAAACAGGCGUUUUCGCUUGAAUGAUCGUGCAUGGAAUAAUAGAAAACGAUUUCGGUUCAGUUUUAUUGGUUUUACGGACUGAGAUAAUGGUUAACAGAGACAAACGGGGGCAUUUGUAUGGCCCCGUGAGAGGUGAAAUUCUUGGACCGUGGCCAGACAAACUACAGCGAAAGCAUUUGCCAAGAAUGUCUUCAUUAAUCAAGAACGAAAGUCAGAGGUUCGAAGGCGAUCAGAUACCGCCCUAGUUCUGACCGUAAACGAUGCCAACUAGCGAUCCGCUGAUGGAAAUUAUAUUGCCUUGGUGGGGAGCUUCCCGGAAACGAAAGUCUUCCGGUUCCGGGGGAAGUAUGGUUGCAAAGCUGAAACUUAAAGGAAUUGACGGAAGGGCACCACCAGGAGUGGAGCCUGCGGCUUAAUUUGACUCAACACGGGGAAACUCACCCGGCCCGGACACUGUGAGGAUUGACAGAUUGAUAGCUUUUUCAUGAUUCAGUGGAUGGUGGUGCAUGGCCGUUCUUAGUUCGUGGAGUGAUUUGUCUGGUUUAUUCCGAUAACGAGCGAGACUCUAACCUACUAAAUAGCUGAUACAUACUCUUUGUGUAUACAGCUUCUUAGAGGGAUUUGCGGCGUUCAGCCGAAAGAAAUUGAGCAAUAACAGGUCUGUGAUGCCCUUAGAUGUCCGGGGCUGCACGCGCGCUACACUGGCAAAAUCAACGAACUUGUCCUACCCUGAAAGGGGCGGGUAAACCAUUGAAAAUUUGCCGUGAUUGGGAUCGGAAAUUGCAAUUAUUUUCCGUGAACGAGGAAUUCCAAGUAAGUGCGAGUCAUCAGCUCGCGUUGAUUACGUCCCUGCCCUUUGUACACACCGCCCGUCGCUGCCCGGGACUGAGCCAUUUCGAGAAAUUUGGGGACCGUUGAUUUAAUUUAUCUAAAUUAUUUUGAUGGAAACCAAUUUAAUCGCAGUGGCUUGAACCGGGCAAAAGUCGUAACAAGGUAGCUGUAGGUGAACCUGCUGCUGGAUCAUUACUU